AUCUACAAACGCAUACAGCGGAGAUAACAGUCCUAUAAAAAUUGGAAUUUGGGACCUGAUGUUCUUUAACGCUCGUGUUUUGCAGUUGUGGUAAUAUAAGGACAUCUGUUGUAAAAUAAUAAUAAUAAUAAUAAUAAUAAUAAUAAUAAUAAUAAUAAUGACAGUAAUAAUAUAUUUUGAAAAAUAAACAGCAAUGAUGAUAUUGAGGGAAAAGUAUAGUAGGGAAAAAAUGGUGAUUUAAUGUUUCUUUCUAAGCAACAAUUAAGGCAGCUGUCAGUUACAAUGCAAGGCGGGACAAAAGACUAGCUGGGUGGCUAAAGGCAUCAGCAUGCUUCUGUUUGACUGGUCCCGAACCGAAUGACUGUGUUCGCAAAACUCCCUUAAAGACAUUCGCUUGAAAAACAAGAAAAAAAAAGUGGCAAUAGUACGGUUUGUCCAUUUUGAGACGCCGUAGCCAGUAUACACUUCCUCAAAAUAGUCAGAAUAACUCAAGAAAUAUGUAAUUAAUUGAAGUUUUUGCAGAGAAGAUCUUAGUCGCGCAAUUUUAAACCUAACUAAGUGGGUGCAGUAUUUCUAAACAAAAAAAAAUGUGCAUGAAAAUGAGUCGUCUCUCCUUGAAUGACAACUAAGACUUUAUUGAAGAAUCCAUACUGUUGACCAAUCACCGAAGGGGCAUAGACUUCAGCUACUGACGUCGGUUUCCUUCUAGAAAAAAUAUAAUGUGCCCAAACAGCCGAAAAAACCUUACCGAAGUCCAAAAUGUAACAAAAUGUUAGCAUAAUAAAUCCACAAACUCUUCUGAACGGUUUCUGCUGGGAAGCAUGCGGACGCCUUAAGGCAACACCAACAGCUGCUUAGACACCCACUCACGCCACACUAGCGCUAUGAACAAACUCUGGGCAAGUCUUAUUUUGGCCUGGAUCUUGUUAUGUUACCCAGCUGGAGGGGCAUAUACACAGUAGAUGGCACCUGCAAAGCGUCUUCUCAGAUUACGGGAAGUCCCUCUCCGAGGUUUUGUGAUGUCACCUUCCUUUUACUCUAGGUUAGCCGCAUUUACGCAUUUCCACCCCUCUCAGCAGACCAGGUCUACCUCACAUGUGUACACACAGGUGGUGGAGUGUUGCUGAUGCAUUCUCCUAGUAUAGUUCAUGGUCCAAGACAAAAGGCAGGUUCAGUAGACCUCUAGUCCCUGUGUUCCCAGGAGCAUUUGGGAUGUCGAGAAGGGGUGAGCCUGGUCGUAAAAGCUGAGGUUCAGGGUCCACGAUCUAACAUUUCUCCAUUAUUUGUUCAUUUACUGUCCCUUUACACUCACCAUCCUUCAACCCCUAAACAGAAUACUUGUUUUUACAGUACAAACAGAACCAUGUUCCGAUUCCUCUUGCACAAGGACCCCUUUCAAUGCAGUUCCACAGUCAAGAGGGGCAAGGAGAAGCCCAACAUAUAGUUACCAUUACAAUUCCUGAUUCAUAAUCAAAUUAUACGUUUUUUGGAAAUAUAACAUUGGUAUUUAAUAUAUUCAAAUAAAAUAUGUGUAGUAUUGGUUUAAGUUAUUCAGCAUCUGUUUCUUAAAUGGUUUAAAACAAAUAA
rnacentral:lncRNA from 13 species